rnacentral:rRNA from 1 species
UACGAAGGGGGCUAGCGUUGCUCGGAAUUACUGGGCGUAAAGCGCACGUAGGCGACUUUCUAAGUCGGGGGUGAAAUCCUGGAGCUCAACUCCAGAACUGCCUUCGAUACUGGAAAGCUCGAGUCCGGGAGAGGUGAGUGGAACUGCGAGUGUAGAGGUGAAAUUCGUAGAUAUUCGCAAGAACACCAGUGGCGAAGGCGGCUCACUGGCCCGGUACUGACGCUGAGGUGCGAAAGCGUGGGGAGCAAACAGG